rnacentral:lncRNA from 1 species
AAACUUAACGAGUUUAGAGUGAGAAAAAGAGAAGAAGAGAGAGAAAGAAAAGAGAAGAGGCAGAAGAAUAGAGAGAAGAGAGAGAAAGAAGAGAGGAGGCAGAAUAAUAGAGAGAAGAAGGGUUAGUGGUUGAGGGGGAGAUAGGACUGGUUUUUCCUUGCUCUCUUCUUAGUUCACCCUUCUCACAGUAGCAGAAACCCUAAUUUUUGAAUCCAUGUCCUUUUUUUAUUUUCUUCUGUUAUAUCCGGUCUUGGAGCUGUUGUUUUUUGGCAAAAUUUGGAAGAGGAGAUGUCAACAACCAGGAAUGUAGUGCCCCUAAUCAGAGGUAAUAGAUCAUUUUAGGGUUUAUUUAUUUUGUGGUGAAUUAUCUGAAAUUUUAGCUGCUUGCUCGUGUAGAAUCUAGUUUGUUUUUUCAUCAGGAAGGAAUUUUUUUGGACUCACAGGAAAUUUUUAUAUUAUAGUGUGAAUUCUCUGAAAUUUGAGUUUUGGAGCUGUUGUUUUUUGGCAAAGGUUGGAAGAGGAGAUGGCAACAACCGGGAAUGUAGUGCCCCUAAUCAGAGGUAAUAGAUCGUUUUACGGUUCAUUUAUUUUAUGGUAAAUUCUCUGAAAUAUUAGCUGCUUGCUCGUGUAGAAUCUAGUUUGUUUUUCAUCAGGAUGGAAAUUUGUUUGACGCACAGGAAAUUUUUAUAUUCUAUUGUGAAUUCUCUGAAAUUUGAGUUUUUGACUCAGAGGUUCAUUGCAACUGAUUCUGUGAAAUUUUCACAAAAUUGAUUAAUAAUCAGCUUGUUUUAAAAUAGUCUGUUAGAAAUCUUAGAAUACUUAGUGUUAUUUUCUUUUCUGUCUGAUGUAUUUUCAGGAAAAUUUCCUUAAUCAGUUUUAGGUUUUCAUUGGCUCAGUUGUUUUAUUUUGUGGCCUCACGAUUUCUUCCAUGGCCAUUUAUUCUUUGUUUUUCCAUAUUUUUAAAGAAUCUAUGUUCCAUGGCCCUAGUAACAGAGGCAUGACUAUUAGGAUUUAUUUUUUAUUUUGUACGUAAGGGUUACUUUCUUUUUCUAAAACUUGUUCUAACCUAAAAUGGGUUCAAGUGUUUUUCAUAUUUUUGAGCUCACAACCACUAUUCUUAGAUGCCCUUUUUCUUUAUCUGGUUGUGCUCUGGAGAAAGACUUCCAGAUUUA